rnacentral:rRNA from 1 species
UACGUAGGUGGCAAGCGUUGUCCGGAAUUAUUGGGCGUAAAGCGCGCGCAGGUGGUUCCUUAAGUCUGAUGUGAAAGCCCACGGCUCAACCGUGGAGGGUCAUUGGAAACUGGGGAACUUGAGUGCAGAAGAGGAAAGUGGAAUUCCAAGUGUAGCGGUGAAAUGCGUAGAGAUUUGGAGGAACACCAGUGGCGAAGGCGAACUUUCUGGUCUGUAACUGACACUGAGGCGCGGAAAGCGUGGGGAGCAAACAGG